AGUCGAGCGGAAGGCCCUUCGGGGUACUCGAGCGGCGAACGGGUGAGUAACACGUGAGCAACCUGCCCCUGGCUCUGGGAUAGCCUCCGGAAACGGGGAUUAAUACCGGACAUUCACUCUUCUGGGCAUCCUAGAGGGUGGAAAGUUUUUCGGCCGGGGAGGGGCUCGCGGCCUAUCAGCUUGUUGGCGGGGUAACGGCCCACCAAGGCGACGACGGGUAGCCGGCCUGAGAGGGCGACCGGCCACACUGGGACUGAGACACGGCCCAGACUCCUACGGGAGGCAGCAGUGGGGAAUAUUGCGCAAUGGGCGGAAGCCUGACGCAGCGACGCCGCGUGGGGGAUGAAGGCCUUCGGGUUGUAAACCUCUUUCACCAGGAGCGAAUCCAGACGGUACCUGGGGAAGAAGCGCCGGCUAACUACGUGCCAGCAGCCGCGGUAAUACGUAGGGCGCAAGCGUUGUCCGGAAUUAUUGGGCGUAAAGAGCUCGUAGGCGGCCUGUCGCGUCCGCUGUGAAAUCCUGGGGCUUAACCCCGGGCGUGCAGUGGAUACGGGCUGGCUAGAGGCAGGCAGGGGAGAACGGAAUUCCCGGUGUAGCGGUGAAAUGCGCAGAUAUCGGGAGGAACACCGGUGGCGAAGGCGGUUCUCUGGGCCUGUUCUGACGCUGAGGAGCGAAAGCGUGGGGAGCGAACAGGAUUAGAUACCCUGGUAGUCCACGCCGUA
rnacentral:rRNA from 1 species